AGCAGCCGCGGUAAUUCCAGCUCCAAUAGCGUAUAUUAAAGUUGUUGCAGUUAAAAAGCUCGUAGUUGAAUUUCGGGGUCAGUAGGUUGGUCAUGCCACUGGUAUGUACUGGUCUCACUGAUUCCUCCUUCCUGAUGAGCCGUAAUGCCAUUAAUUUGGUGUUGCGAGGAAUCUGGACUGUUACUUUGAAAAAUUAGAGUGUUUAAAGCAGGCUAACGCUUGAAUACAUUAGCAUGGAAUAAUGAAAUAGGACGUUCGAUCUUAUUUUGUUGGUUUCUAAGAUUGACGUAAUGAUUAAUAGGGAUAGUUGGGGGCAUUAGUAUUCAAUUGUCAGAGGUGAAAUUCUUGGAUUUAUUGAAGACUAACUACUGCGAAAGCAUUUGCCAAGGAUGUUUUCAUUAAUCAAGAACGAAAGUUAGGGGAUCGAAGACGAUCAGAUACCGUCGUAGUCUUAACCAUAAACUAUGCCGACUAGGGAUCGGAUGAUGUUAAUUUUUUAAUGACUCAUUC
rnacentral:rRNA from 1 species